rnacentral:rRNA from 1 species
AGAGUUUGAUCAUGGCUCAGAAUGAACGCUGGCGGCGCGCUUAACACAUGCAAGUCGAACGAGAACGUUCCUUCGGGAACUAGUAAAGUGGCGAACGGGUGAGAAACGCGUGGGUAUUUACCUGUUGGUGAAGAAUACCCCCGGGAAACUGGGGUUAAUUCUGCAUAAGCUCUUCGGAGGAAAGGUGGCCUCUUUGCUACCGCCGACAGAUGAACCUGCGUCCUAUUAGUUAGUUGGUGAGGUAACGGCCCACCAAGACGAAGAUGGGUAGCCGGCCUGAGAGGGUGAUCGGCCACACUGGGACUGAGAUACGGCCCAGACUCCUACGGGAGGCAGCAGUGGGGAAUCUUGCGCAAUGGACGAAAGUCUGACGCAGCGACGCCGCGUGGAGGAUGACGGUCUUCGGAUUGUAAACUCCUGUUAAGUGGGAAGAAAGCCACACAUCGAAUAGGUGUGUGGGAUGACGGUACCAUUAGAGAAAGUCACGGCAAACUUCGUGCCAGCAGCCGCGGUAAUACGAAGGUGACUAGCGUUAUUCGGAGUUACUGGGCGUAAAGAGUGCGUAGGCGGCCUUUUUAAGUCAGCUGUUAAAUACCACAGCCUAACUGUGGAAAUGCGGUUGAAACUGGGGGGCUUGAGGUUGAGAGAGAGGAACGGAAUUCUCGGAGUAGCGGUAAAAUGCGUAGAUCUCGAGAGGAACACCGAUGGCGAAGGCAGUUCCUUAGUUCAAUUCUGACGCUGAAGCACGAAAGCGUGGGGAGCAAACAGGAUUAGAUACCCUAGUAGUCC